GUGUGUGUGUGUGUGUGUGUGUGUGUGUGUGUGUGUGUGUGUGUGUGUACUUGUAUUUAUUACUUUGUUGGGCCCGGUGACCUGGAGCACACCAACAGUAUGGGGUCCAACAGCCUUGUGGGGCCCAAAAUAGUGGGCCCCACACCGUUUUUCAUUUAAACUGCCUCAGUAGCCUGUCCUGAUAUGCCUCAUGCUUUUUUUUCACUUACCCCACAAAGUGACAAAGUAUGGUUACGUGUGUUACACACUUUUUGCUCUCUAUCGCCCCCAUAUCUGAGAGUGGGGUAUUGCAGCAGAUACACACUACCGGAAGUGUGUGUCGUUUUAGCUCACGGAAGGGAGGAGCUGAUUAGUUUUAGUCAUAAACAGUGUUAAUUCCUUUUGUAAAAUCUAUAAUUCAACAUGUUUGGACUCUGUACCAACUGAAGAAACUCAACAGCCCACGGAAAGGGAGGGGCCAUUUAAAUGGGCUGUUUUACGGCAUUUCAACCGGAAGUUCCACGCGGGUUAACACUGUACAAACGGAAGAACGUCUUCGUGUGAGCAACAGAUCGCUGGUGGCUAAUAGCCCGUGGAAAGAGGGACACAUCACAUUUACUGCAUUUUCACAAGGUUUAACGCUGUCCAACCGAAGUAACGUAAUGUCUUCAUGUGAAUAACUGCCAUAAUGUCCAGAAGAUGUAAGAGGAUACGGCCUGCAGACGAAGCAAGGUCUUAUAUUUUGUCUUCAAGUGACAAGCCAGAGUUUGUGGAACGAUUUAUUGAUAGAAACAAAGGUAGAGGAGUGUUUUCUACCCAGCCUGUUGAACCGGGAGCUUUUGUCUUAGAAUAUAGGGGGGAACUCAUCACAGCAGAGGAAUGCCAGGCCAGAAACUACACAGAGUUACAGAGCACAUUUCUGUUUGAUUUUGAAUGGCAGCAACGUCACUGGUGUAUUGAUGCAUCCAAAGAAGAUGGAUCCCUUGGAAGACUGUGUAAUGACAAUCACAAAUCUCCCAACUGCUCUAUGAAAAAAAUCAUAGUAAAUAACAGGCCACAUUUAUGUCUAUUUGCCGUGAAAAGAAUUGAAAUAGGAAGUGAAAUUGAAUAUAACUAUGGUGAUGCACAAUGGCCAUGGCGUAACAAGGUGAGUUAGAUUAGUCAUGUUAUUUUAUUAUUUAAUUUAAAAAAAAAUGUAAAAAUGUGUUGAGUAGCACAGCUACUUUAUAUAUAUAUAUCAA